CGGAAAAGGAAAAAUAAGGACUGAGAUCUUAAGACUUCUAUAUAAACGUUUUCCGACCUCCAAUACUAGCAGUUGUCUUUUCAUAGCUUAUCAGAGAUGAACAAGUCAAACCGAGAAAUGGUCCUUUUGGCCGCUGCUUGCCUCCUGAUGAUAUGUGGGACAUUCGUCGUAUAUGGAAGGCCCGUGGGGGGGUAAUCAGCAUUUAAUGAAAGGGGUAGGGGCAUCUGAACCAACAUUCUAAGGAAGAGUUUAUGAUUCGCCUCACUUAAUCCGUACAUAGUUUAUCCCAUGUUCAGUCUUCUAAUUGCUUAUCAGUUUAUCUUGAAUUAUUUAGAGCAUUAACUUGUAUACACUUUACUGAACUAUUCAACAUGUGCAUAUUCUCCUUAAGCCCCUCCCCCCCCCCCCAAUUUACAAUAAUGGUUACCAUCGUAAUGUUAUCAGCAUGAUGCAUUAAACUGAUGAAUAAUCUA